rnacentral:rRNA from 1 species
GCCCUAAGUCUAGCCUUUUUCACUUCUAUAAUCCACCCCACUAACCAAAACAUAACAAAACAUUUUAACACUUUAGUAGAGGAGAUCAAAAAAUAUAUCAGCGCCACAGAUUAUGUACCGCAAGGGAAAAAUGAAAUAAAAAUGAAAUAAUACCAACGCACCAAACAGUAGAGCUCCCUCCUCGUACCUUUUGCAUCAUGGUCUAGCUAGUCUAAUCAAGCAAAAUGAAUUUUAGUUUGAGCCCCCGAAACUAGAUGAGCUACUCCGGAAUAGUCUUAAGAACAAACCCGUCUCUGUUGCAAAAGAGUGGGGUAAUUUCCGAGUAGAGGCGACAAACCUAUCGCAUCUAGAGAUAGCUGGUUAUUCAAGAAAAGAAUUUAAGUUCAACCUUAAGUUUCUGUAUUAAAUAAAAACAAAACUUUAGAGCCACUCAAAUAAGGCACAGCUUAUUUGAGACAGGAUACAACCUACAACACAGGGUAACACACAACAAAUAAAUAACAAGUAGGCCUAAAAGCAGCCAUCUUCAAAAAGCGUCAAAGCUUAAUAUUUAUCCUAUUCUAAUACCACCCUCCCUCACUAACCCUUCACCUAUAUUGAAUAACUCCAUAAACUUAUGGAAAUUUUUAUGCUAGAACUAGUAACAAGAAAUAGACUUUCUCCUAAAUGUAAACUUAAGCCGUAACAGACAAACUACCGGCAAUUAACGUACAUGAACAUAGUACAGCAACCCUAACGAGAAAAUCCUGUAUACACACAACGUUAUCCUUACACCAGAACAUUUAAGGAAAGAUUAAAAGAAAAAGAAGGAACUCGGCAAACCCAAGACCCCGCCUGUUUACCAAAAACAUCGCCUCUUGACAUGUAAAUAUAAGAGGUCCAGCCUGCCCAGUGAAAUUUUAACGGCCACGGUACCCUAACCGUGCGAAGGUAGCAUAAUCACUUGUUCUUUAAAUGAGGACUCGUAUCAACGGCAUCACGAGGGUUCUACUGUCUCCUUUCUCUAAUCAGUGAAACUAAUCUCCCCGUGAAGAAGCGUGGAUAAUAUUAUUAGACGAGAAGACCCCAUGGAGCUUUAAACCCAACUAUAUUCCUAACCCCCUAUAACCAUUUAAUUUCCUAGGCCCUAUAUGCUUGGUUUUAGGUUGGGGCGACCACGGAGUAAAACCAAACCUCCAUGAUGUACGGAACAACCUCCUUAUCUAAGAGCCACAGCUCUAAGAAUUAGCACACUAUCAUAAAAUGACCCAUUAUUGAUCAACGAACCAAGUUACCCUGGGGAUAACAGCGCAAUCCAUUUUAAGAGCCCCUAUCGACAAAUGGGUUUACGACCUCGAUGUUGGAUCAGGAUAUCCCAGUGGUGCAGCAACUACUAAAGGUUCGUUUGUUCAACGAUUAAAAUCCU